rnacentral:rRNA from 1 species
UACAGAGGGGGCAAGCGUUGUUCGGAAUUACUGGGCGUAAAGGGCGCGUAGGCGGCCUUCUAAGUCAGACGUGAAAUCCCCAGGCUCAACCUGGGAACUGCGUCCGAUACUGGCAGGCUUGAAUCCGGGAGAGGGAUGUGGAAUUCCAGGUGUAGCGGUGAAAUGCGUAGAUAUCUGGAGGAACACCGGUGGCGAAGGCGGCAUCCUGGACCGGUAUUGACGCUGAGGCGCGAAAGCUAGGGGAGCAAACGGG